rnacentral:lncRNA from 1 species
UAAUAUUGGAAUUACAAUUCUUCAUCAGCAUUAAUUCAAGAGAUAAAAAAUUCUCACUUCAAUAACAAAGUAAGGUUCUUAGCUUUGAGAACAAUGAUACUACGGAGGAAUCCUUGAACAAUUAUGGGAGCAUUUCAUUUCUAUCAUUAACAAAUUCAGGACCUUCUACAAUCUUGUGAAGAAGCCUUCAAGCCUCAUACACCACGGCUAAAAAACUGCAAAAAGAACACUCAGAUGAGCACCAAGAAACCUUUUCAACAGUACUGAACUUUAUGCUUCCAGCAGGAAUUCCGAUGAGAAGUAGCCGUCGUACUAUAGCUUGAGGAAAUGUACAAUGCAUUGUAAUCUUUCCAAUAGUAAAUAUACUGCUAUUCAUGUAUGAGUUUUGAAGCCACACCCAACUAUGGAAUCAAGAUUUCACCUGAUACUGGAGUCACUGGAAAUUAUUUUUUAUUCAAGCAUGUUUAUUUUUCAGUUUGACAGAAGCAAUAUACUGCAGUGUACAACAGAAUGUCUAUGCUAUGAAAUAGGAGAGUUAGUUGACAUGUAUGUGAAGGAUAAAUCACAUUAGACUACCACUUGAUGAACUUCACAUCAACUGCAGCAAUGAAUCCAUCAUUGUCGUUUCACACAACCUAGCAUUGAAUUUCAUUUCACCUAUAAUCAUCAAUGCAAUUGGGAGGAGCAAUCAUAACCCAAAGAAAAACACAGGGAAAUAUUAAGGACAGUAAAACCGGAACUAUUCCAAGCUCUCUCACGCAUCCUUGCUCGUGAGCCGUUGAUUUCGCAUGUGGAAUGUAGGUCACCGUUAAAUUAAUGUUCAGGUCGCGAACUGGGUUGUCUGAUACGCCUCUACUCACGCGUGGGCUACUAACGGGCCAACUGUCCUGGGGCUGCUACUCCCGAAGCCAGUUUGAAGCCCUCUCAUUCUUCUAUACGAGUUAACGUCCGAUCACGAAUGAACGGCCGUGAUACGCUUAUGGCUGGGCUAACCCCAUCCCACCUCCUCGCGACUUGCCUUGUCUCGCUCGUCUCCAUCUGAGCGAUGGCGACGCAGCAGCUUCCCAAGCUCCUCGGAGCCUUCCCUGGUGCGGACGUCAUAGGGCAUGUCACUGAGCAUCGGAUCCCCUUGGAGCCGUAGCCACACUUGCGAGGGUAUCGAGCACGAGAGAAGCAAGCCGAUCCAACGCACGGGGAGCAAAACCGGUGCGAGGGGAGGCGAUCGAGGGGAUCCAGCGGGACACGCUUCAGCCGAUGCGCUUGAGGGAAACGGAUCCAACAGGCGAGGGGAUCCAGCGGGCGUGAGAGAUGGUGGCCAGCUGUGUUGUCCUUCUACAAUCUUUGCUCUGAAGGUGCAGGCAACUGGUGUGGGUUUCACUCUCAAAUCGCUGGCGACGAAGGGUUUUCUCUCAGAUCGGUACAACUGGGAGGAACUUUGCUGCAGAGGACGUCUUGGCAAGGGGAAAGGGUCCGGACCUACAUCCCCAUGUCUAUGCAAAUAUCACUUCUCUUUAUCUUGGAUGUUCUAAUCUCAGAUUUGUCUACUUUCUACAUGGCGAGUAGUAUUCCACGACAAUCAGGAAGUGGCCACCGUCAGUGUCCUUUUACUCAAAAUUAUCCAUGUUAAUCUAUGCAUGGAUGCUCGUCACCGAACUUUGCUUUUUUACCGCUUUCUACCGUGAAGUCAUUACUUUUUGUUGAAUGUUGAUCUAUGCUACAAAUAUGUGCAUAUGUUCUUUUACUCAGUUUAUUCAUGUUGCAGGAUAGCAAUCUUUGCAUAUGUUAUGCCUAAAGGCCAAUCGGUCAGUAUAUUUUCUUCCUAUUCCAUCUCUAAUUAGUGAUAGUUACUUCUCGCAUGGAGAUCAUGCACAAGUUAAAGGUGCACAAGUUAAAGUUCAGCUUAGCGGGCAAUGUAAACUAAAAGUUACAUGCAAAGAUAAUUAUACACAAUCUGCUAAAAACAACAUGCAUUUUUAUUGAGAUUACUGUUCCAUCUGAGACACACAUGGUUUCAUUCUAAUCUGCAUUGUGUGAGUAUGUAAAAAUUUGGAUUGCACAAUAUCCAUAUUUGUUUAUUGUCUCCACAAGGAUUUUUCUAUUGUAAAGUAGAAAGGCGAGAGGAGGAUGUUGUGCUUAAUGUGAAUCAACAUCAGUUAUUUAUUUAUUUUGUAAUUGUUUAUUUCCCUUGUCAUGAUUUUUUUAACUAAAUCCAUCUUGAUAUUUUCCUCAAACAGGUUCCAAAACGAUGACUUCAUCUACUCUUUCCUAAUGUAUGGUAUUCACUUUGGAUCGAUGGGAAACUUAAACUUCUGAAGGAUCCUUAUCAGCUAUUAGAGAGGUAAAUAUCAGCUUCCCUCACUGAUUUUCUGUCUGCUACUUGUUGUAACUACUCUGCACAUAACUCAAUGAGGCUCUGCUGCAUCAUCGGUUGGGGCUCUGCAUCUCCUGUCAAUGGGUACACCUGGUGUCAACCCUUUUGCUCUGCUCCUGUAUGUAUGACCUAGGUUGGUGAUCAUCUUCUGGUGGAACCCUAUGAUAGUACUUCAUCCAUUCUGCAGUGAAAUAUUACCCGUUAAAGGUGUUGUAUUUCGUGCAGGUUGCAGCUUUUAGCUAUGGUGCUUUAUAAUUCUUCUCCCGUGUUGGCAAAUAGUUAAUGUAUCAACAUGUUUUCUAAGACAAUAUUGAUGUAGAUUAUCGUCUGUUUCGUUUACUGUCAAACAUAUAUUCUUUAUCUACCCAAACUUAACUUUAUUUUCACAAGCCCAUGCAUUAAAAAUUUCCUAUCAUCCAACUGAAAAAAAUUCAUGGGCGCUGCAACGCGCGCCAUCAAUGUUCUAGUAAAUCAUUAAAAUCUGGCCAAAAGGUAAUCUCAUAUGAAUCUAACCUCUUUAGCUUAUAAAAGCUAUUAUUCUACAGGGGAGAAAAUAAGUCUACAUACAUGUGAGUCUCACCUCUUUAAUUAGCCAAGAUUUCAUUGUUUGUUAUAUGUAUUGCAUUAUGCCACAUAUCUUACAACCCCUUUAUUCUCUGCAACAAAAUAUCAUAAACAUUGUUAUAACAAAAAGCACGAUAUAUUCCUUCUGUACUAACUGCUUUUUUUUUUCCAACAGAGAUUUACACUAAAAAUUGUACAUCGUAUGACUUUCUUUACCACGAAUUUUACUGAACUCGAGAGAUCUGAAUUUUAAACCAAAAAGUUUAAAAGCGGGGAUCUCUCCCAAUGGGGACGUGCAUACUCCCCUGUACCUUACAUCACAUAUUGAAUGGCUGAAAAUAUUUGCAAGCACCGUCAGCACAGGGAUUUCCAUGCUUGAAGAAGCAAUCAUUAGUCAAUAGGCGUGGAACUGAAAGCAUGGUCUGAGUAAAUGGUAGUCUUUUUUUACUACUAUUUGUGAAGCACAAUUUGAAAGGAAAAUGAUAUAAGAAGAUGAAGCAAUCAUUAUUCAAUAGGCAUCUAAGUGAAUGUACAGUUUGAGGGUACUAAAGCAGAACCAGAUCAUGUGCUCAUUAAUUGGCUAUUAGAGAUUGCGAAUGCAAUUUGCAAAAGAAAGCAUACAGGUGAAUAAAGAAUUUCUCGAGCCACAAAAGAUAAAGUCUACAAAGUGGGAGUUGACCUAUAACCCAGAGAUUUAGAAAUCAAAAGGAAAAGCUCACCAACAGCUUGUGUGAUCUAUAAUCUGGCCACUGUGAUUCCAGUCAAGGAGAGUGAUGCUCCCAGUUUCCACCGUGUGCAAUAAAUCUGGAAAAAUUUAACAUAUAAAUAUGUGAUUCAUCUGUAUGUGUACAUAUCAGUAGGGAUAUAAUACUAUUUUUGUAUCCA